AAUUUUAGAAACCAAAUGAAAAAUACAAGAGAAGAGGAGACUAUCCAUCCUAAGGAUCCCUAACAACAAUGUUAGAAGAAAUAGCUCCAUGCGUGUAAUUCCUUCGAAUGCGUCGAAUCUUAGUCUCAAAAGAAGCCUUCAUUUGAGUCUUCUCGAGGACAAGCUGAUCAGCAAUCUUCUUCCAAGCAGCGGAAGGCUGAGGCAUGCUAGAAGAUGAAACCUAUGACUCUCUCUGUCUCUUUGUCACUCGGUCUUCAAGUAGCUUAAUAAGU
rnacentral:lncRNA from 1 species